AGCGUUCGCCUUCAGCCACCAUGGGGAAUGGGAUGAACAAGAUCCUGCCCGGCCUGUACAUCGGCAACUUCAAAGAUGCCAGAGACGCGGAACAAUUGAGCAAGAACAAGGACAAGACAUUUCAAAGAAAGUAUUAAAUUCAUUCAUGAGUGCCGGCUCCGCGGUGAGAGCUGCCUUGUACACUGCCUGGCCGGGGUCUCCAGGAGCGUGACACUGGUGAUCGCAUACAUCAUGACCGUCACUGACUUUGGCUGGGAGGAUGCCCUGCACACCGUGCGUGCUGGGAGAUCCUGUGCCAACCCCAACGUGGGCUUCCAGAGACAGCUCCAGGAGUUUGAGAAGCAUGAGGUCC
rnacentral:sRNA from 1 species